rnacentral:misc_RNA from 1 species
UGACCUGAGCAGACGGGUGAGGGGAAACAUAGGUGGGGGAAAGCAAACGUCGUUGCUCCCGGCCAGAUGAGGUGGAGGCGUGCUGAGCCUCAGCGCGGCCAUAGCAGGUACACGAGCGCAAGCGCUGGUGCGGCUG